UAGGGAAUCUUCCGCAAUGGACGCAAGUCUGAUGGAGCAACGCCGCGUGAGUGAAGAAGGUUUUCGGAUCGUAAAGCUCUGUUGUUGGUGAAGAAGGAUAGAGGUAGUAACUGGCCUUUAUUUGACGGUAAUCAACCAGAAAGUCACGGCUAACUACGUGCCAGCAGCCGCGGUAAUACGUAGGUGGCAAGCGUUGUCCGGAUUUAUUGGGCGUAAAGCGAGCGCAGGCGGAAGAAUAAGUCUGAUGUGAAAGCCCUCGGCUUAACCGAGGAACUGCAUCGGAAACUGUUUUUCUUGAGUGCAGAAGAGGAGAGUGGAACUCCAUGUGUAGCGGUGGAAUGCGUAGAUAUAUGGAAGAACACCAGUGGCGAAGGCGACUCUCUGGUCUGCAACUGACGCUGAGGCUCGAAAGCAUGGGUAGCGAACAGGAUUAGAUACCCUGGUAGUCCAUGCCGUAAACGAUGAGUGCUAAGUGUUGGGAGGUUUCCGCCUCUCAGUGCUGCAGCUAACGCAUUAAGCACUCCGCCUGGGGAGUACGACCGCAAGGUUGAAAC
rnacentral:rRNA from 1 species